GAUGAACGCUGGCGGCGUGCCUAAUACAUGCCAGUCGAGCGAACAGACGAGGAGCUUGCUCCUCUGACGUUAGCGGCGGACGGGUGAGUAACACGUGGAUAACCUACCUAUAAGACUGGGAUAACUUCGGGAAACCGGAGCUAAUACCGGAUAACAUGUUGAACCGCAUGGUUCAUCAGUGAAAGACGGUCUUGCUGUCACUUAUAGAUGGAUCCGCGCCGCAUUAGCUAGUUGGUAAGGUAACGGCUUACCAAGGCAACGAUGCGUAGCCGACCUGAGAGGGUGAUCGGCCACACUGGAACUGAGACACGGUCCAGACUCCUACGGGAGGCAGCAGUAGGGAAUCUUCCGCAAUGGGCGAAAGCCUGACGGAGCAACGCCGCGUGAGUGAAGAAGGUCUUCGGAUCGUAAAACUCUGUUAUUAGGGAAGAACAAAUGUGUAAGUAACUAUGCACGUCUUGACGGUACUUAAUCAGAAAGCCACGGCUAACUACGUG
rnacentral:rRNA from 1 species